rnacentral:rRNA from 1 species
AUGGUCUUGGUAUCAUAUCUACACUAUAUUUUCCUAUUGUGUGAAGGUGCAAGACUGCAAAUUGAGAUAUUAGAGGGGACUGACGAGCAGGCGCCUAAUACCAUGAGGAGCAUGGGCGCCAUGCUCUUUAUCACCACCAUAGGUCUCGGGGACUAUGGGAGCACCCUGCGGAUGUCAAUCAUCACACGUGCGAUGACGAGGCACGGCACCCUCGGGUCGGCCAUGCACCAUCUCUGCGUUGGCCACCUUGACUGUUAUUUCUGGCAGCUUGCAUGUAUUAGUCUCAUUCAUGCGCAUUGCGAGUCGGUAUACCUACUGCAGGACUCAAGGCGCAAUGGUGAGCAGUAA